UGAACUAAAGUCGUAACAAGGUCUCCGUUGGUGAACCCAGCGGGGGAUCAUUA
rnacentral:rRNA from 1 species